UUACGGCCACAUCAUGUUGAAACACCAGUUCUCAUUCGAUCACUGAAGUUAAGCAACAUCGAGACUGGUCAGUAUCUAAAUAGGUGACCGCUUCGGAAUACUAGGUGCUAUA